GAAAUGAAGAAAAGGAAUGACAUUUUCAAUAUUGACGAAGAUUUAGAUAACCUGGGAGUCAAAGAUGAUGAAAACCUACGGAUCACGCUGAGUAAA